rnacentral:rRNA from 1 species
GCAGCAGGCACGCAAAUUACCCACUCCCGGCACGGAGAGGUAGUGACAAAAAAUAACGAUACGGGACUCUAUUGAGGCCCCGUAAUCGGAAUGAGUACACUUUAAAUCCUUUAACCAGGAUCGAUUGGAGGGAAAGUCUGGUGCCAGCAGCCGCGGUAAUUCCAGCUCCAAUAGCGUAUAUUAAAGUUGUUGCAGUUAAAAAGCUCGUAGUUGGUUUUGCGUGCCACGCUGUCGGUUCGCCGCCUGACGGUGAAACUGGCAUGCCGUGGUACGUCCUGCCGGUGGUAAAUGGUUACCUGGCGUGUGGCUUAGAACUUUGUUUUUUGUUACUGCCUUUGUGUAAUCGUUUGCCGAUUUUUAUCCUACCCGGUGCUCUUAAACGAGUGUCGAGGUAGGCCGGCAACAUUACUUUGAACAAAUUAGAGUGCUUAAUGCAGGCUUGAAAUAUAGCCUGAAUAGUGGUGCAUGGAAUAAUAGAAUAGGACUUUGGUUCUAUUUUGUUGGUUUUCGGAACUCAAGGUAAUGAUCAAUGUGGACAAGCGGGGGCAUUCGUAUUGCGGCGUUAGAGGUGAAAUUCUUGGAUCGUCGCAAGACGCACAAGAGCGAAAGCAAUUGCCAAGUAUGUCUUAAUUGAUCAAGAACGAAAGUUAGAGGUUCGAAGGCGAUCAGAUACCGCCCUAGUUCUAACCAUAAACGAUGCCAGCCAGCGAUCCGACGUGUUCAUAUUAUGACACGUGCGGGCAGCUUCUUCCCGGGAAACCAAAGCUUUUGGGUUCCGGGGGAAGUAUGGUUGCAAAGCUGAAACUUAAAGGAAUUGACGGAAGGGCACCACCAGGAGUGGAGCCUGCGGCUUAAUUUGACUCAACACGGGAAACCUCACCAGGUCAGGACAUUGUAAGGAUUGACAGAUUGAUAGCUCUUUCUUGAUUCAGUGGGUAGUGGUGCAUGGCCGUUC